AUGAAACGCAACGUUUGGACCAAAAGGUUUUGUGACCUUUCACAUAUUUUCAAGUUGAGCUUUUCCCUCUCUCAUGCUCUCUCUCAUUCUCAGACUAAGCGUUGCCGCUUCGGCACGCUCGCUGCGGCGGCAACAGCGGCCGUGAGUCCAGAAUCACAGAUUCAUUAUACCAACGAUUCCGGCGAAGAUCUCAAGUUUGAAUAUGCAGGGCUAUUAUGUUUAAUUGGCCAUGAAAUUUCUAGGUUGAAGCAUAGCUUGUAG